GACGUAGGAGGCGAGCGUUGUCCGGAUUCAUUGGGCGUAAAGCGCGUGUAGGCGGCCUUGCAAGUCGGGCGUGAAAGCCCUCAGCUCAACUGAGGAAGCGCGCCCGAAACUGCAGAGCUUGAGUACCGGAGAGGAUGGCGGAAUUCCCCAAGUAGAGGUGAAAUUCGUAGAUAUGGGGAGGAACACCGGUGGCGAAGGCGGCCAUCUGGACGGAUACGUGACGCUGAGACGCGAAAAGCGUGGGGGAGCAAACAGG
rnacentral:rRNA from 1 species